AAAGAAUGUAAAAUGAACUAUACUGCUGAAAUAGAAAUUUUAUUAAAAAAGAAAGAAAAAAGAAGGAAAAAAACCCCUGAAAGCACAGCCGCUAACAGAGGGCCGUGCCAAAAAGAAACGUAAAAAGCAAAACAAAAACCACAGAAAACCCGCAAAGGACCACGGGUGAACAAAAACAGAAACUAAGAGGAGAAAUCUAAAUAAGCUUCGUCGUCCCCAACAUUGUCGUCAUCCACCUCUUCGUCGUCCAGCAUAUCUCCCCAUUUUUCCUUUUUUGUAGAGGCUACUGCCGACAUAGUUCGGGCUGCGUCUGAAGAGGAGUGUAUCACAAAGUUUUGCAGAAUCGCCCCUCUAGAUUGAGCGUGCUGCACUUUAUUCAGAAACUCCACCGGUGCAUCAUCA
rnacentral:lncRNA from 1 species